UACAAGGGAGGACAGUAUUGUGAAUUAUUGGGCGUAAAGGGCGCGUAGGCGGCUUUGCAAGUGGCGGGUGAAAUCCCUCGGCUUAACCGAGGAACUGCCUGCCAGACUGUGAGGCUUGAGACCGGGAGAGGUGAGUGGAAUUCCCAGUGUAGCGGUGAAAUGCGUAGAUAUUGGGAGGAACACCAGUGGCGAAGGCGGCUCACUGGACCGGAACUGACGCUGAGGCGCGAAAGCGUGGGGAGCAAACAGGG
rnacentral:rRNA from 1 species